rnacentral:rRNA from 1 species
GAUGAACGCUGGCGGCGUGCCUAAUACAUGCAAGUCGAGCGAACGGACGAGAAGCUUGCUUCUCUGAUGUUAGCGGCGGACGGGUAAGUAACACGUGUAUAACCUACCUAUAAGACUGGGAUAACUUCGGGAAACCGGAGCUAAUACCGGAUAAUAUUUUGAACCGCAUGGUUCAAAAGUGAAAGACGGUCUUGCUGUCACUUAUAGAUGGAUCCGCGCUGCAUUAGCUAGUUGGUAAGGUAACGGCUUACCAAGGCAACGAUGCAUAGCCGACCUGAGAGGGUGAUCGGCCACACGGGAACUGAGACACGGUCCAGACUCCUAAGGGAGGCAGCAGUAGGGAAUCUUACGCAAUGGGCGAAAGCAUGACGGAGCAACGCCGCGUGAGUGAUGAAGGUCUUCGGAUCGUAAAACUCUGUUAUUAGGGAAGAACAUAUGUGUAAGUAACUGUGCACAUCUUGACGGUACCUAAUCAGAAAGCCACGGCUAACUACGUG